CCUACGGGAGGCAGCAGUGAGGAAUAUUGGUCAAUGGGCGCAAGCCUGAACCAGCCAAGUCGCGUGAAGGAUGACUGCCCUAUGGGUUGUAAACUUCUUUUAUCAGGGAAUAAAGUGCGGUACGUGUACCGUUUUGUAUGUACUUUAUGAAUAAGGAUCGGCUAACUCCGUGCCAGCAGCCGCGGUAAUACGGAGGAUCCGAGCGUUAUCCGGAUUUAUUGGGUUUAAAGGGAGCGUAGGUGGGUUGUUAAGUCAGUUGUGAAAGUUUGCGGCUCAACCGUAAAAUUGCAAUUGAUACUGGCAUCCUUGAGUACAGUAGAGGUAGGCGGAAUUCGUGGUGUAGCGGUGAAAUGCUUAGAUAUCACGAAGAACUCCGAUUGCGAAGGCAGCUUACUGGACUGCAACUGACGCUGAGGCUCGAAAGUGUGGGUAUCAAACAGGAUUAGAUACCCUUGUAGUC
rnacentral:rRNA from 1 species